rnacentral:lncRNA from 1 species
CUAGCCAAUAGAAUUCCAAACCACAGACUCCAAGUCAGUUAUGCUCUUUUCUCAUUCUUGUUGUUGUUUUCACAAAGACACAAAGAAAAGAACGAAAGAUGGUGAUUGAGCAGUUUCUUUUUAGGAGGCUGGACAUAUUUUGAAACAUUCCAGAGAAAAAGCACAGGAAGAGAAGCAGGGAAAAAAAUAGCUCUGGCCCUUGAGAUGGGUUCCAGGUGCCCAGGAAGCAGGCACAUAGAAAUGAGCAAUGGGUCCUUGGAAAUUCUGGGCCAGAGCUCCACAGAGAGGGGAGGCUGAAGAUAAAAUAUAGAAUGAAAAGAAAAUGCAGCUGCACACAGAACCUGCAGAGUGCCCACUUGGAGGCAAGAAGAGGAAGGGGUACGGUUGACGUGGACUGAGGGGGAGCCAGGAGUGAGAGCUUCCUUCCCAGAAAAGACUUGAGAAGAGGAAGACAGUGGGCAGAGCGCUUUAGAGGGGCGCGGCAAGCAGUGUGGACAGAAAUUACUUGCAUCUCCACCAAACAAAAAUCUAUCAGCUAACCCCGCCCCAACAGAGCUGCAACUUAGCCCCAUCAAUGGAGAGCCAGUCUAAGGAGCACGCUGAGCGCCUCACUGAAGAGCACCCAGGCCUCAGGGUGCUUGCCAUUGCCAAGUUCUGAGCAAUUCUUCUCCAGCACGCUCUACCCUGGCCUGGGGCAAGUCCUCUCUUGUCCCUCUGCCUAGCCAGGUCCCUGCUCUAUCCAGCCUGUUUGAGACCCUCAUUAGCCCUUCUCUCUUUUAGAAACCUUCCGUCCAAACUGGAUGAACAGCUAUUUCAGCAGCUCCCUAUGGCUUCGUCUCUUCAUUCACGGCAUGCCACGUGGCAGGAACCUGGAGACGCUGAGCAUCAGCCAUGGAUCACGAUGCUCUCUGAACGGGAAGGUGGCCGAGGGGCUCCAACAGCUCCUCACCAUGAGCCAUUCCAUUAUAGGCACUGUGUUGAAGCCCCAGCCACCGAGACCUGAGAGGUCCUAUUUUACUCUGGGUCAUGGGCAGAGAGGAGAAACAGCUGGAAAGAUAAAGCCAGAACUAGGAAAAUGGCCAUAGAAGACCACGGUGAAACUCAUCAAAUAGAACACUUAAAAUAUGUGUAUUUCAUGUUAUGCUAAUUAUUCUGGAUUAACCUGAAUUUUAAAAAUUAAAUUUGAAAAAGGAAACAAAGACAUUGAUCACCAUUCCUCUAUUCACGAG